rfam:Candidatus Taylorbacteria bacterium RIFCSPHIGHO2_01_FTLL_46_22b rifcsphigho2_01_scaffold_94, whole genome shotgun sequence.
GGAGGAGUGGCUGAGUGGUUGAAGGCACCGGUUUCGAAAACCGGCAGGGGUGAAAGCUCCUCGUGGGUUCAAAUCCCACCUCCUCCG